UGACUGAACCCACCCUGAUCUUACAGCUGAUGAGUAUAUAAACUGUAGGAACCCAGAAGCAGAGAUACUGGAAUAAGUGGACCGAGCACUGAAGCAAGGAUGUGGACGUUGAGAACAGCACUGCUGGUGUCCCUCUUAGCAUUUGUUUUUUCCAAACCAUUUUAUCCAUGGAAUGGAAAUAGACGUCUGGCAAUAAACCAGGCAUUUCAGGACUCUGACUCCGUGGAAUCAAACGAAUCAAGCAACAGCUCAGACUCGGAUGAUUCAAAUUCAUCUUCUGAAUCUGAUACGUCUAAAUCCAGUGAAUCUAGUGGUUUGGAUACUAGCCACUCUGAAUCCAAUGAGUCUGCAUUGUCGGAGGAGAAUUUUCUCAUCACUGCUGAACCAGAGAUCACGAGCAGUAUAACUGUACUACCACCAUUGCCCACAGAAGGACACGUCACCUGUUAUACUCUACACCUGGAAACUCUAGAGUCUAGAGGAGACAACUUUUAGUUGCUGUACCUUAAAGCUUAACAUAGUGAAGUGAAUGUUUCGCUUUUACCAUUUAGUGAUUUGCUGGUCCUAUCAGGCAGUUUAAAUUUCUAAAAGAAAUGUUCCUGAAUGUCCUAUAAAUGCAUAUAUGAGACACUUUUGAUUUUAUUUCAUUUUAUUUAGAUUUUUCUUUGGUUCAUUGCACCUUACUCACUUUUAUAAACUGAUUUUACAUAGCAGUAUUAUACCAAAGGUAAUAUAUAUUCUGAGUAUUCUACACUACGCAUGAGUGGUGGAAUCAAAUAUUUACAGUGCACCUUUGAUCUGUUAUGUUACAUUAAAUAAAAUUGUGAAACCAUUUAC